GAUGAACGCUGGCGGCGUGCCUAAUACAUGCAAGUCGAGCGAACGGACGAGAAGCUUGCUUCUCUGAUGUUAGCGGCGGACGGGUGAGUAACACGUGGAUAACCUACCUAUAAGACUGGGAUAACUUCGGGAAACCGGAGCUAAUACCGGAUAAUAUUUUGAACCGCAUGGUUCAAAAGUGAAAGACGGUCUUGCUGUCACUUAUAGAUGGAUCCGCGCUGCAUUAGCUAGUUGGUAAGGUAACGGCUUACCAAGGCAACGAUGCAUAGCCGACCUGAGAGGGUGAUCGGCCACACUGGAACUGAGACACGGUCCAGACUCCUACGGGAGGCAGCAGUAGGGAAUCUUCCGCAAUGGGCGAAAGCAUGACGGAGCAACGCCGCGGGAGUGAUGAAGGUCUUCGGAUCGUAAAACUCUGUUAUUAGGGAAGAACAUAUGGUAAGUAACUGUGCACAUCUUGACGGUACCUAAUCAGAAAGCCACGGCUAACUACGUG
rnacentral:rRNA from 1 species